GGGGUCGAUCGGUUUCGACGGUAGAUGUCCAGCAAGGGGAAGCGGGCCGAGGAUCCAGGGUUAUCUCGAUAACGCUCCCUGGAAAACAAUAAGUGCCGAACCUAAGCGCACUGACUUCGCUCUCGCUGCCUGAUCAGCGUUAGCAGUCUGGACCGUCGGGGAUUGCCUUUGACCCGAUACGUCCAUCAUUAAGAGGGCCACUGCUUCCAGUCUUCGUCAUCGAGGCUGGGUGAACAUCUAGAGUGACUGAGUUUGUUGGCGACGUGUCCGUACGAGCGCCAGGACUGAGAAAACGACUGAACGGACUGCGCCCGGAGAAGCCCUGGCUUCGCACUAUCGGACGCGGGUUCGAUUCCCGCCGGCUCCACAG
rnacentral:tmRNA from 1 species